GAUGAACGCUGGCGGCGUGCCUAAUACAUGCAAGUCGAACGAAACUUCUUUAUCACCGAGUGCUUGCACUCACCGAUAAAGAGUUGAGUGGCGAACGGGUGAGUAACACGUGGGCAACCUGCCCAAAAGAGGGGGAUAACACUUGGAAACAGGUGCUAAUACCGCAUAACCAUAGUUACCGCAUGGUAACUAUGUAAAAGGUGGCUAUACUACCGCUUUUGGAUGGGCCCGCGGCGCAUUAGCUAGUUGGUAGGGUAAAGGCUUACCAAGGCAAUGAUGCGUAGCCGAAUUGAGAGGUUGAUCGGCCACAUUGAGACUGAGACACGGCCCAAACUCCUACGGGAGGCAGCAGUAGGGAAUCUUCCACAAUGGGCGAAAGCCUGAUGGAGCAACGCCGCGUGGGUGAAGAAGGUCUUCGGAUCGUAAAACCCUGUUGUUAGAGAAGAAAGUGCGUGAGAGUAACUGUUCACGUUUCGACGGUAUCUAACCAGAAAGCCACGGCUAACUACGUG
rnacentral:rRNA from 1 species